rnacentral:snoRNA from 1 species
GGCACUUGUAUGGGUUUUUGUUGAACUGGUGGACAAAAGCUUAAAAAAACAAGUGCAAAAGCAAAUCCUCUUUUGCAACCCAGAACUCAUUGUUGUAUGGGUUUUGGUACAUGUAAGAAGGAAUACC